rnacentral:rRNA from 1 species
UACGAAGGGGGCUAGCGUUGCUCGGAAUCACUGGGCGUAAAGCGCACGUAGGCGGCUUUCUAAGUCAGGGGUGAAAUCCCGGGGCUCAACCUCGGAACUGCCUUUGAUACUGCGAAUCUUGAGUCCGAUAGAGGGGGGUGGAAUUCCACGGUGUAGCAGUGAAAUGCGUAGAUAUGUGGAGGAACACCGAUGGCGAAGGCAGCCCCCUGGGCUAACACUGACGCCUCGAUGCACGAAAGCGUGGGGAGCAAACAGG